UCGGGCAGCCGCCUCUGCCUCGCGCAGGGGAGGAAAGUCCGAACUCCGCAGGGCUGGGUGCCGGAUAACGUCCGGGCGCCGAAAGGCGACGGAAAGUGCAACAGAAAACACACCGCCCGUUCCCGUGCUUCGGCAUGGGAAAAGGUAAGGGUGAAAUGGUGCGGUAAGAGCGCACCGGCAGACUGGAGACAGUCUGGCCUGGCAAACCCCACCCGGAGCAAGACCGCGUAGGAAUGCUGUCGCAAGAGCCGUGCGGCCCGUACGGCGUCCGCCCCGGCGGACCGGCAUUCGGGUAGGUCGCGUGAAUCCCGCGGUAACGCGGGAUCCAGAUAGAUGGCUGCCUCUUCCGGCCGGCGCGCACGGCGCGUCGCGGAACAGACAGAAUUCGGCUUACAGAUGGA
rnacentral:RNase_P_RNA from 1 species